rnacentral:rRNA from 1 species
UACAGAGGUCUCAAGCGUUGUUCGGAUUUAUUGGGCGUAAAGGGUGUGUAGGUGGCGCGCUAAGUCGGGUGUGAAAUUUCGGAGCUUAACUCCGAAACUGCAUUCGAUACUGGCGUGCUUGAGGACUGGAGAGGAGACUGGAAUUCAUGGUGUAGCAGUGAAAUGCGUAGAGAUCAUGAGGAAGACCAGUGGCGAAGGCGGGUCUCUGGACAGUUCCUGACACUGAAACACGAAGGCCAGGGGAGCAAACGGG